GAUGAACGCUAGCGGCAGGCUUAAUACAUGCAAGUUGAGGGGCAGCAUGAUAUACGCGAGUAUAUUGAUGGCGACCGGCGGACGGGUGAGUAAUAGGUAGGAGACCUACCUCAUACAGGGGGAUAGCAUAGAGAAAUCUGUGGUAAUACCCCAUGAGGUUAUAUGAAUAGAGGCAUAUAAUCAAAGCAUAAGCGAUUAUGCGGUAUGAGAGGGGCCUACUGACCAUUAGCUAGUUGGUGAGGUAAGGGCUCACCAAGGCGAAGAUGGUUAGGGGUUUUGAGAGAGAGACCCCCCACAUUGGAACUGAGAGACGGUCCAGACUCCUACGGGAGGCAGCAGUAGGGAAUAUUGGGCAAUGGGCGAAAGCCUGACCCAGCCAUGCCGCGUGAAGGAAGACGGCCUUAUGGGUUUAAACUUCUUUACUACGCGAAUAGAGGUUAUACGAGAUACUAAUAGGAAGGUAGUGUAGUAAAAAGCACCGGCUAACUCCGUG
rnacentral:rRNA from 1 species